rnacentral:rRNA from 1 species
UACGUAGGGGGCAAGCGUUGUCCGGAAUCAUUGGGCGUAAAGCGCGUGUAGGCGGCCCGGUAAGUCCGCUGUGAAAGUCCAGGGCUCAACCCUGGGAUGCCGGUGGAUACUGUCGGGCUCGAGUCCGGAAGAGGCGAGUGGAAUUCCUGGUGUAGCGGUGAAAUGCGCAGAUAUCAGGAAGAACACCAAUGGCGAAGGCAGCUCUCUGGGACGGUACUGACGCUGAGACGCGAAAGCGUGGGGAGCGAACAGG